GCAGGCCUAACACAUGCAAGUCGAACGGUAACAGGAAGCARYUUGCUGCUUCGCUGACGAGUGGCGGACGGGUGAGUAAUGUCUGGGAAACUGCCUGAUGGAGGGGGAUAACUACUGGAAACGGUAGCUAAUACCGCAUAACGUCGCAAGACCAAAGAGGGGGACCUUCGGGCCUCUUGCCAUCGGAUGUGCCCAGAUGGGAUUAGCUAGUAGGUGGGGUAACGGCUCACCUAGGCGACGAUCCCUAGCUGGUCUGAGAGGAUGACCAGCCACACUGGAACUGAGACACGGUCCAGACUCCUACGGGAGGCAGCAGUGGGGAAUAUUGCACAAUGGGCGCAAGCCUGAUGCAGCCAUGCCGCGUGUAUGAAGAAGGCCUUCGGGUUGUAAAGUACUUUCAGCGGGGAGGAAGGYGUUGAGGUUAAUAACCUCAGCAAUUGACGUUACCCGCAGAAGAAGCACCGGCUAACUCCGUGCCAGCCAGCCGCGGUAAUACGGAGGGUGCAAGCGUUAAUCGGAAUUACUGGGCGUAAAGCGCACGCAGGCGGUCUGUCAAGUCGGAUGUGAAAUCCCCGGGCUCAACCUGGGAACUGCAUUCGAAACUGGCAGGCUAGAGUCUUGUAGAGGGGGGUAGAAUUCCAGGUGUAGCGGUGAAAUGCGUAGAGAUCUGGAGGAAUACCGGUGGCGAAGGCGGCCCCCUGGACAAAGACUGACGCUCAGGUGCGAAA
rnacentral:rRNA from 1 species